rnacentral:rRNA from 1 species
AUGGAGAGUUUGAUCCUGGCUCAGGACGAACGCUGGCGGCGGGCUUAACACAUGCAAGUCGAAGGAGAAGGGAGAAGCUUGCUUUUCCCGGAGACUGGCGGACGGGUGAGUAACGCGUAGAUAACCUGCCUUUGCCUGGGGGAUAACACUGCGAAAGUGGUGCUAAUACCGCAUAAUGCAGCGGGGCCGCAUGGCCAUAGUUGUUAAAGGAGUAAUCCGGGUAAAGAUGGGUCUGCGUACUAUUAGCUAGUUGGUAGGGUAACGGCCUACCAAGGCGAUGAUAGUUAGGGGGUCUGAGAGGAUGAUCCCCCACACUGGGACUGAGACACGGACCAGACUCCUACGGGAGGCAGCAGUGAGGAAUCUUGCGCAAUGGGCGAAAGCCUGACGCAGCCACGCCGCGUGCCGGAAGACGGCCCUAUGGGUUGUAAACGGCUUUUGCCAGGGAAGAAAGCCCGGGGUUCGCCCUGGAUUGACGGUACCUGGUGAAUAAGCACCGGCUAACUCCGUGCCAGCAGCCGCGGUAAUACGGAGG